rnacentral:rRNA from 1 species
UGGGCGAUGAGCGAUUAUCCAGUUGGUGGACUUGAGUGCUACCGAGGUGACGAUCGGGAGCUGUCCUGACCCAGGUCCAACUCUUUAUGGGACUGAGACACGGCCCAGACUAAUACGGGAGGCAGCAGUGGGGAAUUUUGGACAAUGGGCGAAAGCCUGAUCCAGCAAUGCCGCGUGUGUGAAGAAGGCCUUCGGGUUGUAAAGCACUUUUGUCCGGAAAGAAAUCCUUGGCUCUAAUACAGUCGGGGGAUGACGGUACUUUGAAGAAUAAGCACCGGCUAACUACGUGCCAGCAGCCGCGGUAAUACGUAGGGUGCAAGCGUUAAUCGGAAUUACUGGGCGUAAAGCGUGCGCAGGCGGUUUGCUAAGACCGAUGUGAAAUCCCCGGGCUCAACCUGGGAACUGCAUUGGUGACUGGCAGGCUAGAGUAUGGCAUAGGGGGGGUAGAAAUUCCACGUGUAGCAGUGAAAUGCGUACAGAUGUGGAGGAAUUACCCGAUGGCUAAGGCAGCCCCCCUGGGUCCCAAUACUUGACGCUCAUGCACGAAAAGCGUGGGGGAGCAAAACAAGGAUUAAUAUACCCUGGUAGUCCCACGCCCCUAAAACGAAUGUCCAACUAAGUUGUUUGGGGGAUUCAUUUCCCUU